rnacentral:rRNA from 1 species
UUAUAAGGAUAACUACGGAAAAGCUGUAGCUAAUACUUGCUUAAGUACUUUUACUCCCCGGAGUAAUUGUAUGUAUUUGUUAAGACCCCUAAGAACAAAUGAUAUUAAAGGAAUUAUAACAAAGAAGCAACACAUAAGUAUAAUUAUUCAGUGUGUAUC